GUUGGGGUUUGGGAACAAGAAAAACAACUGCUGUCAUGUUGAAUGUCUCCUUUUUGACCUUAGGUAGGAUUCCAGCUGCUUGUCAGUUCAGGAUUGCUUGUUCUAUUUUAAAUUUCUUAAUAAUGAAAACAUUACAGAAUGUGUUUUUUGAAAGGUUACCAAGGCUCUCAAUAUUGCUAAACAAAGUUGUUUCGUCCUUUUUGAACUGGUGCUUUGCAGUAGUGUCUACAGUGACCAUUUCCUGCAGUUUGUAUGCAGGCAAGAAGGGGAAGUUUUGAAGCAAGCCACAAGUAACUAUUCCAUGGUGGACUGUGAUGAUCUUGUGGAAGUUCUUGAUGGCUAUGGCUGUUAAAGAAGAAUCACCACUGAGAAUAUUUGCUAGAUACUUCAUGUAUCACAAAGAGCUUGUCCAGAAGCCAAUAUUUGUGAUUGUCUGCUAGAGGGAAAUCACCCUUGAUUAUCUCUUCCUCAGUUCAGAGCAACUGACCAAGUUGCUCUCCGACCUGCAACCAACCUCAAAGAAGGUGUGCCAUUUGCUGAAGUUUGAUGCUGAUUGAACUCCAUAGCAAAAGUAAGCGAGAAUUACCUGAAAAGAGUCAUCUAGGAACUUGAUUAGCCCCAGAAAAUGCUUACUUUUUAAAUUUUAUAAUGUCUUCAGGUAAGAUAAUUUUUAAGGAGCUGACAUUCUUAACUUUUUAUCAUAUAGCAGACACAUUUAAUCCAGCACCAUUUCUGAGAUCCUGGAUUAAAGCUGGACUUAUUUUCUGAAGCCUCAGGAUAGUAAUAAAUACAAGUCAAGCCUGUUAGGUUGAGGUCAGAAAAACAUUUGAAUCUAUUAUGCUGCAUGGGAUGAGCUGUGGUUCACCUGCUGCGCUGAACAUAGAAAUGUGUAUCGCAGUUUGGCCCUAUCGUGCACCUGGCUUAAAGUAGCCCAUUGUGGCAUGCAAAAAAAAUGUUUUUAUUUUUUUCACCUGAUGCACUCCUCACUUCCACACGCAGAUCCCACGCUCUGAGUUGAUAUCAGAUGAACAUGCGCUCAAGUUAUCAUACAUAGUUGUGGUGGUCACGCGCAAAUGCGCGUUGCUAUCUGGAGGAAGCAUGAUGUUUCUGUGCCUCAGACCAUCAGAAACCUGGUUUAAAGGUUAAGAUGUACCUUAGUUGUUCAGAGAGUAUUCUUUUAAGAGAGAGGGGUUAAAAGGCGGCUAAAAGAGCCGACAGUGUGCCUUGUCUUUUAUGUCCAGAGACACACAGCCGAGCUCUCGUGUGUUUUUUCUGAUACAGUGAAAUUGAGUUCUUUACUUGGUCAGAGGGCUUGGCAAUAGCCUACACUUCCUUGUCUCUAUACACCGCAAGGCUGCUCACUGCUUUCCUCUCCUAAACUUAGCCCUGCUGGGCUCCAAAGCUGCAGCCUGAGAGGUAACCAAGCCUUUUGUGCACUUUCUAAAUUACGUGCAUAAAUUACGUGUAUAUUUUGCAGUCUUCAAAUAUAACAGUUGACCUUGCUGUGUGCUUAUUGAAUUGGGAAACAUGGUCAGUUGCUCUUGCUUAUUCUGCUUGGUGAAAUAAGGUUCAUAUUGUGCAUAUGUGGGUUAGUGAUGUGUGUCAGCACGUGCACUGGGUUCAGUAGUUGCCAGAGUGCUCUCCUUGUAACAAUGUUGGUAAUAUGUGAAGUGUGUAGAUGCAGUAGUUGUAAAUGACUGCUGGAUCUUUACAAGAUUCCCUGAUUCAGACAUUUCUUUCUUUCUUUAUUUCUUUUCUUUUUUUUCUUUUUUUUUGGGGGGGGGGGGGCACUAAAAUCUAGACUACACUACUGAAAAAAAUGUACUAAAACCCAAAAUGUAACAAGUUAUUUGAUUUUUGGCAAAAAGUUUUCAUCUUGUUAGAUUUUGGGUAAAUUAUUACAUGGGGGGGGGGGGGGGGUAUUUUUAUUUUUUUUAUUACAUUUCAGGUUGUUGAUACAUAUCAGGCUCUAACAUGCCUCCUGAUUGUGACUCCCCACCUGUGUCCUAUCAACCUCAUAUUUAACCACGUCUCUCACUGUCUUGUUGCCGUUCCUUGUGCUUCACAGUCCUUUUUCCAGCUCUUUUUCUUCACAGUCAUAGUCACAGUCACCCAGUGUAUUGAACCUUGCCUUUUUUUUUUACCUUGGGCUCUAUUUUCGUGUCUGCCAGGACCACGGCAGAGGGUGGCGGACCCUGCGCAGUGGUAUACUGGUAUAUAAAAUUUAUUUUAUAUGCCAACAUCUAUGAAAGAAAGAGCCAGGCCACAGAGUGCGAUGCGUCAGUUCCGAUUUUAAUGCCAUUAUUGGAAUUUAUGUUAUGAUCUGUGCACACAACCCACCUUUGUCACGUGAGGUUAUCAUAUAUGCAACUUUAUGUGAGUGUCAUUCUUUGUGGAAAAGGGUGUUUGUCUUACCAGUGGGUCCAACAUUACACACACCAAAUCCAUCUGUGCUAAUAUGAGAGAGUGUGGAGGACGCCCUCUGCAGCGCUUACAGCGACACUUGUUGAGGGGCUGCCUUCGUCGCCAUAGUGUGGCAUUGCUGUCUUCACACAUCUCUUGAUCUCUUUGACUACUUCAUGAAAAUUGUAAUAUGCCUCGCCGGUGGCGGUAUUAAAGGUGAGGAGAGGAACUGAUGUUAUUGGUCAAUACAGGUCUCGGCUGUGCUAAACCCACUCCACGCCCUCUCUCCUCCCUCCCUACGACUUACGCCGCUAGGAGGAGCUGAGUUAGGGAGGGGGAUACUUAUGCCGGGCUGGGCCACUCACCAAAAUACCAAAAUGUGCACGAAAAUAUAGCCCCUUGUCUACCUUGUCGGCCUGCUUACCUGUGUAAAUAAACCCUGUCUUUUUUUUUUUUUUUUUUUUAAGAACUACAUUGGUGCUGUGCAUUUUUGUCCAGUAAAUCUGUGCCUCAAUUCAUGACACACUCAGUGUUUUUAAUUUCCCAAUUCUUAAAGACAGAAAAAACGUAUUGAGCAUUGGCCAACAUGCUCUCCCGUAACAAGCCUUAUCUGCAAAUGAAAAGACAAUGUCAAUUACUUGAUCAUAAAUUUUUAAAUAUGCUCAAAGACAAGGAGCAGGUACAUCAGCUCAAGAAGGAGGUAGCGAGCAGUCUGGAGAACAUUGCCAGAACCCUACUGUACACAUACGACUGGAGACAUGAAUACACUCUUUUGUUCAACUUUAUUCUAUACGUUCGUCUCUCAUAACAUCCUGUCUGUCCUCUCAUCCAGUCCCUACGGAACUACUUACGAUAGUAUAUGUUCCCACACAUAUCCUAUCAGUACAUCUCCCCCUUUUAGCUUAAUGUCAGAUUUCUUUAAGAGCUAUUGUUUCUUUUUUCAAUUUGUCAAUAUCUUGAACAAUAAACAUGAACAGCAAAUAAUAGUGCAAUUUCUGAAUAGUGCAAUAUCCCAAUCAUUUCUCUUAAACAUUUUCUGCAUUGACCAUCCUGUAUGUCUUGUAAACAUUCUGUAAUACUCUCCUCUUUCUCUCCUUUUUCCAAAGACAUUCGUAUUAUUUCAAACAAAACAAUGCAACAUGGAGCUUGAAUGUCUAACUCCUAGGGGUCAGGGUAGACUGCCUGGAUCCCCAAAGCUAUGCAAGGAUUAUUCUGCCUUGUGAAGGAACCACAGCUUUUUAACCUGAGAACUUUUUAACUAUAAGUCCAUUCUCUUAGGUGGUCUAGUACACCUGCCGGAUCUGGUCACCGUGGAAGUCUCUGGAACAACCCUGAUGUGAGAUCUAUUUCUCCUAAUACUACCUGUGGGCAGAUCUACGUUGUAAGACCUCGGUGUGUGUCCUGGACCACUAACAAUUCCAGUUUCACUUGUGUUUUUCACCAAGACUCUCUGUCCUGGUCUGAGCUCUUGUUUGGCCUUGGCGUUGUGUCGCUUUUCGAACCAGGAGGCCUGUUUCAUUUCCAAGUCCUGAUCUUUCCUCCUGAAGUCCUGAGGGUCAGGCCAACCUGGCUACAGCUUCUCUCAAAUGACGAGUAAGGGCGUUCUGAUGUUACGGCCCAUUAGCAGUUGUGCAGGAGAAGACCCGUGGGCCAAAGGGGUGGCUCUGUAAGCCAUGAGAGCCCUGUGUGGAGCUUCCCCGUUACUAUGUGGGUAGCGGGGCCUGCUUGUAGUGUGACUGAAGCCAUAGUCACUGGCAAAAGCUGCUGCUGAGAAUUGGGGGCUGUUAUCAGUGACGAGAGUCUCAGGAACCCCAUGGCGGGUGAAGAUAGAUUUCAGCUUCUCUGUCACGUGGGCUGUGGUAGUGGAUGAGAGGUUGGCUACUUCUAUGUAGUGGGAGAAGUAGUCAAUUACCACGACAUACAUGGCGCUGUUCCACUGGAAUAGAUCCGCUGCUACACGCUGCCAGGGCCUGUCAGGCAACGUUGUUGACUGCAGUGGCUCCGGUGCAUUGUAAGCCUCACGUGCACAGGUCACACAGUUCUCCACUUUCCUUUUGAUCUGAGUGGUUAAACCAGGCCACCAGACGGAUUGUUGUGCUCUGGCGGCACACUUCGUCAUGCCUUGGUGGCCGUCAUGAAGUUUAUCGAGCAUUUCCUCUUGCAUGGUGAACGGAAUGACAAGUCUCUCACCC